CCUACGGGAGGCAGCAGUGGGGAAUAUUGCACAAUGGGGGAAAUCCUGAUGCAGCGACGCCGCGUGAGUGAAGAAGGAUUUAGGUAUGGAAAGCUCUAUCAGCAGGGAAGAAAAUGACGGUACCUGAUUAGGAAGCCUCGGCUAACUACGUGCCAGCAGCCGCGGUAAUAUGUAGGGGGCAAGCGUUAUCCGGAUUGACUGGGUGUAAAGGGAGCGUAGACGGCUGCAAAAGUGUGGAGUGAAAUGCCGGGGCUUAAGCCCGGACGUGCUGUGGAAACUGUGCAACUAGAGUGCAGGAGGGGUAAGUGGAAUUCGCGGUGUAGCGGUGAAAUGCGUAGAUAUUAGGAGGAACACCAGUGGCGAAGGCGGCUUACUGGACUGUAACUGACGUUGAGGCUCGAAAGCGUGGGGAGCGAACAGGAUUAGAUACCCGAGUAGUC
rnacentral:rRNA from 1 species